rnacentral:tRNA from 1 species
GCGUACAUCGUAUAAUCGCUAUUACCUCAGCCUUCCAAGCUGAUGAUACGGGUUCGAUUCCCACUGUACGCUUCA